GAGGGGACGCGGUCAGCUUCCCCCUUCUGGCCGAAUGGCCCUCUCCGACGCUCGGCCCCCGCUCCCCUGGAACACUCCCUCCCAAGCCCUGUCGGGCUGGGCGGGGGUGGCUGUUUGGCCUGGGCAUCGUCUUACUAAUUCGGAACGACGGAGUGGAGGCCACUCAAAGAGGAGGCGAUCCCGGCGGAGGAGGCUUCGUGACUCCUAGCUUCUCCCCCUUACUCCUGUCCCGCACCCACCGGCCCACCCACCACUCGGGACGCCGCGCCCUCGUGGGUUUUUAUACUGGAUGGAGGGGGCGCCGCCAGGAAGCCAAGCCUCCCCCGCUAACUCUUGUUUCUGCAAUUGUAAAGGUAGACACAGCCUCUAUUUGCUGUGAUUGUAGCGAAUGUGACCCCUCAGAAAUUCUUUUUGUCUGCCCCCGAAGGUGGCUGGAGGGCUUGGCGGGAGGUGCCAAGGGCCGCUGGAAGUUGUUUUUAUGGCACUAAGAAUCGAAUCAGGAGAUUGAGGAAGAACUUAUUCAUUCCAUGAAUUUAUUGAGUACUUCCAAAUGCCAGUUACAGGAUUAGACUCUGGGAUUCGAAGGUCUGGAGAAGAAAAUGCUGGGGGAUAGCACUCUUAACUGGAUCUGGCUUUGUAGCUUUCCCUCCACCUUUACUCACCCUACAGACUUUUGAAAUAUUAAGAAGAAUGUUAGAGGGAUUUUACUAGAGCAGUUGAUCGAUCAUUGAAUUCCUUGCCAGCAAAACAUUUUGAUGAGAUACACUUGGGAACAGAGUGGUUUGAGUCAAGCAAGGGAGAAAUUGGUGGCCUUGCUUCCAUUUGCUCAUGUUGCACGUCCAUGUCAAGCUUUCCUUGUGUCAUCCGGAGCUGCUCUCAUCUGAACACCGGAAACCUCUCUGUCCACCAGAGCCUGCCCUUCGACCUCUCCCACCAGAGAUGUUUUUUGACUUUCAGUCACCAAAACCUACCCAGUUCUUCCAGUUUAUUAGCCAUUUUUGGCCUCACUUCUUUCCUUUUGAAUUAAAUGCCUAGACUCACCAUUCUGAAUUUAUUCUCCCCUGUAGUCUAUACUUCAUCUCUCCUUGACCUUCUAAUACAGCUUUGCUAACAACCCUAAUAGUCAGGAGAACUCAGUCACCCAUUCCUUGCAUUUUGUUUUAAAGUCACCAAGGAAGACCAAAGAAAAUCUAAUGACUGUGUUGAUUAGUGACAUCACUAAAACAACAUUUGAGCAGUGGA